rnacentral:rRNA from 1 species
AGUUAGGAAUACCCGAAGCCUGUGAGCUAACUUUAGAGGCAGCAGUCGAAGGUAGAACUAAUGAUUGGGGUGAAGUCGUAACAAGGUAGC